rnacentral:misc_RNA from 1 species
GUGCAUGCCACUACAGCUGGGAAAUCUGCACACUCGGCCAGCCAGUUGGUGGAAACUUGAAGAGAGCUAAUGCAGAAGCAGCUCUGAGUGCCAGGAGACUUUUCUGAAGAAAAACAAUUUGUUCAUGAAAAACUGAUGCUGGUGUUUUCCUGAUUAGUUUCCACUUGUUCAGAAGCUGAUAGGCUAAUAUAAAAGAGAUGCAUAAG